GGGGAUGGCCACACAGUCCUGUGACUGCCCGAUCCCAUCAGACCUCGGAAGCCAAGCAGGGCCGGGCUUGGCUAGUACUUAGAUGGGAGGCUGCCUUGGAAGAUCAGGGGCCGUCAGCC
rnacentral:rRNA from 12 species